rnacentral:rRNA from 1 species
AACGAACGCUGGCGGCAGGCCUAACACAUGCAAGUCGAGCGCACCCUUCGGGGCGAGCGGCGGACGGGUUAGUAACGCGUGGGAAUGUACCCUUUUCUACGGAAUAGCCAUUGGAAACGAUGAGUAAUACCGUAUACGCCCUUUGGGGGAAAGAUUUAUCGGAGAAGGAUCAGCCCGCGUUAGAUUAGAUAGUUGGUGGGGUAAUGGCCUACCAAGUCUACGAUCUAUAGCUGGUUUUAGAGGAUGAUCAGCAACACUGGGACUGAGACACGGCCCAGACUCCUACGGGAGGCAGCAGUGGGGAAUCUUAGACAAUGGGCGCAAGCCUGAUCUAGCCAUGCCGCGUGAGUGAAGAAGGCCUUAGGGUCGUAAAGCUCAUUCGCCAGGGAUGAUAAUGACAGUACCUGGUAAAGAAACCCCGGCUAACUCCGUGCCAGCAGCCGCGGUAAUACGGAGGGGGUUAGCGUCGUUCGGAAUUACUGGGCGUAAAGCGCACGUAGGCGGAUUAGAAAGUAUGGGGUGAAAUCCCAGGGCUCAACCCUGGAACUGCCUCAUAAACUCCUAAUCUAGAGUUCGAGAGAGGUGAGUGGAAUUCCGAGUGUAGAGGUGAAAUUCAUA